UGCACCUGGUAUCUCCACGCAGUAGUAAUCUUCCUAUUGUGUUGGUCAUAAUGUAGUGCUAUAGGAAGUCAACUUGCAUCGUUGGUUUUCAAGCCACAUGUGUCUGUGAACCUGGUUUUUAUGUUGAUACACAU
ensembl:snoRNA